AUGCCGGCGUCGUUCUUGGCUGAAACCGUGUACCAGCCAGCGUCCUCCUUCGAGGCGGGCUGGAUGAUCAUGCACAGGAAAGCCGUCAAACCUUAUUCUGUCCGUGUUGUGAGUGAAGGACUCGUUCUCCCUCUUCCAAAAGAUCUGGGGGUACGGAACCCCCGUGACCCGGCACUCCAGCCGCACAGGGUGGCCCUCCGCCACGCUGGUGUUCUGCAGCUUCUCCACAAACGACGGCGCCUUGUGCAUCUCUCUGGCUGUGGGGACGGAGGGUUUGAGUCCACGCGGCUGCCCACUGCGCUGCUGCCACAAACACUCACCUGCGACGAUGAGCUCCAGGUUGAAGGAGUUCUGGCCGGCCCGGUUGCUGGCAAUGCAGGUGUAGAUGCCGGCGUCGCGACUCGUCACGGGCUCGAUGACCAGCGAGUGCACGCCGUUCUCCCUCACCAGCAUCUUGUGGGAGGAGUCAGGACGGAUGCUCUGUCCAUUCAGCUGCCAGACGAGGUCAGGUGUCGGCAGGCCGCUAACCUUCAGGUGGAGGAGAGACAGGCAUGGAGUUAAAUUCCCACUUAGAUCAUCUUCUGAUUUAUUGUGAAAGGGUUUCUGAUCAUCCUGUUUCUACUUCAAGUCGUUUUCUUGAACAUAUUUCUGCAGAGCAGCAGGAGUUCAUUAGAAACUCACCUCCCAGUUGUGGGCGGGACUUUUGCCGUUGACUGACCCUUCACCUCCCAGUAACUGAGAGCUCUCUGUUUACAUUCCCUCCCACUAGCUUACAGCCCCUCACAACCAUAACCUAACAUUAGCGGUGCAACAAAAAUGUUGACCAACAUCAGAUCUGUCCCUCCAUUCUAGUUCUGAUCCAGAUUCCAGCUCAGACCAGGAAAUCAGGCGUUCAUGGAUCUUUGGAUGUUUGUCUGCAGGUGGAGGAUCAGAAUGGAGCAGAGCAGGGAGCUGGAGACCCGCCAGCAUAUUUUAUACUCAACAAAUACAUUCUUUCUUAAAACAGUCUUUCCUCUGCUCCUGAUUCACAACAAUUUGAAUAAAGAGAAACUUCUGAAUGCAGAU
rnacentral:lncRNA from 1 species